rnacentral:rRNA from 1 species
AAUGAACGUUGGCGGCAUGGAUUAGGCAUGCAAGUCGGGGGAAUCCCAGCAAUGGGGGAACCGGCGUAAGGGGCAGUAAGGCAUGGGUACCUACCUUGGGGUUCGGGAUAGCCAUCAGAGAUGGUGGGUAAUACCGGAUGACGUCGUGAGACCAAAGAUUUAUCGCCCUUAGAGGGGCCCAUGUGAUAUUAGCUAGUUGGUGGGGUAACGGCCCACCAAGGCGAAGAUGUCUAGCGGGUGUGAGAGCACGACCCGCGCCACUCGCACUGAGACACUGGCGAGACACCUACGGGUGGCUGCAGUCGAGGAUCUUCGGCAAUGAGCGCAAGCUUGACCGGGCGAUGCCGCGUGAGCGAUGAAGGCCUUCGGGUCGUAAAGCUCUUUAGUGGGGGAGAAAAGCCGCAAGGUGUGAUCUAUCCCAAAAAUAAGCACGGGCUAAGUUCGUGCCAGCCGCCGCAGUAA